AUUAAAUGUCUGUAUGAUAAUCAGAUACCAGGACUGUCGUACAUGCUACAAAUUCUCAGUCUCAGAAUGACAACUUUAAUAUUAUGAACACAAUGAGCAGACAAUCUGACAUGUUCGUAGGGCAUACAAUGAAUGGAUAGAGAGAGGCUAUAUUCAAGCUUCACUAAAGAGUACUGAGGACAAAAUAGAAACCCCUCAAUGUGUGUGCCUAGGAUAAACUUAAAGGAAAUAUUUAUAAAAUCUGAAAUUCUGCCAAUGUGUGUAUAUAUAAAAACAAAGAAACCCCACAUCAUUAGAUGACCGUUAAGACACCUUUUAUCUAUAGUUUAACCCCUUAAGGACACAUGACGUGUGACAUGUCAUGAUUCCCUUUUAUUACAGAAGUUUGGUCCUUAAGGGGUUAAAGGAGAACAGUAAUUUCUUGGAAACUUACACCAUUUAAAUCGGCAAAAAAAAAAAAAAUCACUGUUCAUAGGGUAUACCUCCAAUGCAUAAGUUUUUCAUAGAGGUAUUCAUUGUGGGAAUGUAUUUAUUUUGUUUUUCAUUCUGUAUUCAUUGGGGGUAUAUCUUAAAAGAGCUUGCUAAGGCUGCAAUUCUUAUGAUCUGCAGCCUUUGCAAGCUCUUCCAUUUUCUACAUGUGUUCUCUACAUUGCUGACUGCCAUAUGUGAAGGACAUAGUUAAUAACAAUGACUGGCUGAAGGCUAAGAUGGAGACACCCAGGUGUCACACCUUAAACAUUUUUGAUAAAUAUAGGAAUACAUAAACCUCUAAUUUUAAAACCAUGGGAAGUGUCUUUUAAUUUAAGGGCUGACAACCCUGACAUGUAGGAGAUGAAGGUUCUUUAUGGUUUCAUGUCACCUCACCAUAUAGGACCGUAAAGUCCUAUAGUGUUCACACCUUGAGCAGUAUUUUUAGAGUGAAAUAAAGUGUAAUUUUCUCACUUGUUGCCAAUUGCAAAUAGAGUGCCAUAAUCAAACACUUUAGGUAUCUAGAUAGAAAUCCUACUUAUGGGAGUAGGUGUCUACUGGCUUUGAGUAAGCAGAUGAAAACACUAAAGAGGUUUACUACAAAUGCCAAACAUUUGCCAUCAAGUUCUUUUGUUAUUGACUCAAAUUUCACCGUUGCGGUUUUAGCCACUGAGGAAUAGCCCAGAUUAUAAAUCUUUAUUCAUCAUUUUGGGUUAGCACUUUUUACAUUUAUAGUAAGGUUACACGGUCCAGUGAUGAACAAAAUGUGUAAAGUUUUAAAGUAUCUGAUUCUGCAUGUAAAUAUGUGAGUAAUUAAAAUGUAAAAAUGUUAAGUAAGACUAGUUAUAAAUCUGUAACAUUGGAAUUUAUGUUUGGUGUAAAUGUUUGUAUGUUGUGCUAGCAAAGUUGCAAGCAAAUAUUACACUGUGAAUGGUAAUACUAUUAAAAUAAAUCAAUAAGCCAUGUUGAUCUACCUGUGCUGCUUUUGAUAGCAAGAUUUUCUUAAAUAAUGUGCAUGAUGAAUUGUAGGUAUGUGUUCUACAGUUAUUUACAAAGGCCUCAUACAGACUGUUCUUACAUUGUUAUGCUGUAAAACAUGUUUAAGGCACAAAAUAAUUAUUUACCCAAAUACUGCCAUUAGAUGCCUUUUUGUUUGUUUUUUGCUAUGCUUCUGUUAACAAAUUUAAAAAAAAA